CAGCAGCCGCGGUAAUACGGAGGGUGCAAGCGUUAAUCGGAAUUACUGGGCGUAAAGCGUGCGUAGGCGGUUCGUUAAGUCUGUUGUGAAAGCCCCGGGCUCAGCCUGGGAAUGGCAAUGGAUACUGGCGAGCUAGAGUGUGUCAGAGGAUGGUGGAAUUCCCGGUGUAGCGGUGAAAUGCGUAGAGAUCGGGAGGAACAUCAGUGGCGAAGGCGGCCAUCUGGGACAACACUGACGCUGAGGCACGAAAGCGUGGGGAGCAAACAGGAUUAGAUACCCCUGUAGUCCCUGUCUCUUAUAC
rnacentral:rRNA from 1 species